CCAGACUCCUACGGGAGGCAGCAGUGGGGAAUAUUGCACAAUGGGGGGAACCCUGAUGCAGCGACGCCGCGUGGGUGAAGGAGCACCUCGGUGCGUAAAGCCCUAUCGGCAGGGAAGAAACAGACGGUACCUGACUAAGAAGCCCCGGCUAACUACGUGCCAGCAGCCGCGGUAAUACGUAGGGGGCAAGCGUUAUCCGGAUUCACUGGGUGUAAAGGGAGCGUAGACGGCGACGCAAGUCUGGAGUGAAAGCCCGGGGCCCAACCCCGGGACUGCUCUGGAAACUGCGGCGCUGGAGUACGGGAGGGGCAGGCGGAAUUCCUGGUGUAGCGGUGAAAUGCGUAGAUAUCACGAAGAACUCCGAUUGCGAAGGCAGCCUGCUGGACUGUAACUGACGCUGAUGCUCGAAAGUGUGGGUAUCAAACAGGAUUAGAUACCCUAGUA
rnacentral:rRNA from 1 species